rnacentral:rRNA from 1 species
AUACGGAGGGUGCAAGCGUUAUUCGGAAUCACUGGGCGUAAAGGACGCGUAGGCGGGUUGGCAAGUCAGAUGUGAAAUCCUACAGCUUAACUGUAGAACUGUAUUUGAAACUGCUAACCUAGAGUAUGGGAGGGGGAGAUGGAAUUAGUGGUGUAGGGGUAAAAUCCGUAGAUAUCACUAGGAAUACCGAAAGCGAAGGCGAUCUCCUGGAACAUAACUGACGCUAAGGCGUGAAAGCGUGGGGAGCAAACAGGAUUAGAAACCCUAGUAGUCC